AUAAUCUACCUUCACGACUGGGAUAACUGGCCGAAAGGCUUGCUAAUACCGGAUAAGCCCACGGGAACUUCGGUUUCUGAGGGAAAAGGCGGCCUCUGUAAACAAGCUGUCACGAGAAGAUGAGUCCGCGGCCCAUCAGCUAGUUGGCGGGGUAACGGCCCACCAAGGCAACGACGGGUAGCUGGUCUGAGAGGAUGAUCAGCCACACUGGAACUGAGACACGGUCCAG
rnacentral:rRNA from 1 species